CCUCCUUGACUAUUGGAUGGCUGUAAUUGCACGGAGGAAACUAUAUUUAAGAUCUGAUAUCUUGAGGGUAAUGUCUUCAGCAGUUACUGAUGGACAGAGUGACUGUUAAUGCUUUCUUCACUAGCCCAGAGGAUUCUGAAGGAUAGACGAUCUGUGAUAUACUUCUGUAAGACAGGAAAUGCAAUUUUUGGGGGUUUCUGGAAAUAGAAAGGUUAUGCAGCCUGGAACCGGUGAGACAUUACAGUCUCUAAGCCAUCAGAGAAAUGAUGAAGAGGCUGUUGUGGAUAGAGGUGGAACUCGCUCCAUUCUCAAAACACAUUUUGAAAAAGAAGAUCUGGAAGGCCACCGAACAUUGUUCAUUGGAGUUCAUGUGCCACUGGGUGGAAGAAAAAGUCACCGCCGCCAUAGGCACCGUGGACACAAACACAGAAAGAGAGACAGAGAGCGAGAUUCAGGAUUAGAAGAUGGGCGAGAGUCUCCUCCUUUUGAUACCCCCUCACAAAGGGUACAGUUUAUUCUUGGAACUGAAGAUGAUGACGAGGAACACAUUCCUCAUGAUCUCUUCACUGAGCUUGAUGAAAUUUGCUGGCGAGAAGGAGAAGAUGCUGAAUGGAGGGAGACGGCAAGGUGGUUGAAAUUUGAAGAAGAUGUGGAGGAUGGUGGAGAGAGAUGGAGCAAACCAUAUGUUGCCACAUUGUCACUCCAUAGCUUGUUUGAGCUGAGGAGCUGUAUUCUGAAUGGCACAGUUUUGUUGGACAUGAGAGCUAACUCCUUAGAAGAAAUUGCAGAUAUGAUUCUGGACCAGCAGGUGGGUUCCGGGCAACUCAGCGAGGAUGUUCGUCACAGGGUGCACGAGGCAUUACUUAAACAGCAUCACCAUCAGAAUCAGAAGAAGCUGAGCAACAGGAUUCCAAUUGUGAGAUCCUUUGCAGAUAUUGGGAAGAAGCAAUCUGAGCCCCAUUCCAUGGAUAAAAAUGCAGGUCAGGUUGUUUCCCCACAGUCUGCUCCAGCCUGUGUUGAGAAUAAAAAUGAUGUGAGCAGAGAAAACAGCACUGUUGAUUUUAGCAAGGUUGAUCUACACUUCAUGAAAAAGAUACCACCUGGAGCUGAAGCAUCAAACAUUUUAGUAGGUGAACUGGAGUUCCUGGACCGGGCGGUUGUUGCGUUUGUGAGGUUGUCUCCUGCAGUGCUGCUUACAGGCCUGGCUGAAGUUCCUAUUCCAACAAGAUUUUUAUUUAUUCUUCUUGGACCAUUGGGAAAAGGGCAACAGUACCAUGAGAUUGGAAGAUCAAUUGCAACACUAAUGACAGAUGAGGUAUUCCAUGAUGUUGCUUAUAAAGCAAAAGACCGCAAUGACUUGGUUUCUGGAAUUGAUGAAUUUCUUGACCAGGUCACAGUUCUCCCUCCUGGAGAAUGGGACCCAACAAUUCGAAUAGAACCGCCUAAAAAUGUUCCUUCUCAGGAGAAGCGUAAGAUCCCAGGAGUGCCAAAUGGGACUGCAGCUCAUGGGGAACCAGAACAUCCUGGUGGACACUCUGGGCCGGAAUUACAACGCACUGGAAAAUUUUUUGGAGGACUGAUUUUAGAUGUAAAGAGAAAAGCUCCCUUCUUCUGGAGUGACUUCAGAGAUGCUCUCAGUCUGCAGUGUCUGGCAUCAUUUUUGUUUCUCUACUGUGCUUGCAUGUCCCCUGUCAUCACAUUUGGUGGUCUGCUGGGAGAAGCUACUGAAGGUCGUAUAAGUGCAAUAGAAUCGCUGUUUGGAGCAUCCAUGACUGGAAUUGCCUACUCUCUCUUCGGUGGACAGCCUCUCACUAUACUGGGCAGCACAGGACCAGUUUUGGUGUUUGAGAAAAUCCUAUUCAAAUUUUGCAAAGAGUAUGGGUUGUCAUACCUUUCUCUGAGAGCUAGCAUUGGGCUGUGGACUGCAAUCCUGUGCAUCAUCCUUGUUGCAACUGAUGCAAGCUCCCUAGUCUGUUACAUUACCCGGUUUACUGAAGAAGCUUUUGCUUCUCUUAUCUGCAUCAUUUUCAUUUAUGAGGCCUUAGAGAAACUAUUUCAUCUCAGUGAGACAUAUCCAAUCAACAUGCAUAAUGAUUUGGAUCUGCUGACUCAAUACUCUUGCAAUUGUGUGGAACCAGAACAUCCUAGCAAUAAAACCUUGCAAUACUGGCAUGACUACAAUAUAUCUGCAUCUGACGUGCCAUGGGGGAACCUAACAGUGUCAGAAUGUAAGAAACUUCAUGGAGAGUUUGUUGGACGAGCCUGUGGUCAUCACGGCCCAUAUGUUCCAGAUGUCCUCUUCUGGUCUGUCAUCUUAUUCUUUUCUACAGUAACACUGUCAUCCACACUGAAGCAGUUCAAAACCAGUCGGUACUUUCCAACAAAGGUGCGAUCUGUUGUCAGUGAUUUUGCUGUCUUUCUCACUAUUUUGUCCAUGGUUUUAAUUGACUAUGCCAUUGGGAUCCCAUCACCAAAGCUUCAGGUUCCAAAUGCUUUUAAGCCCACCAGAGAUGAUCGUGGCUGGUUUAUUACUCCUUUGGGACCUAAUCCUUGGUGGACAGUGAUAGCUGCUGUAAUUCCAGCUCUGCUUUGUACUAUCCUUAUCUUUAUGGACCAACAGAUUACGGCUGUCAUUAUAAAUAGAAAAGAACACAAACUAAAGAAAGGAUGCGGAUACCAUCUUGACUUACUCAUGGUGGCAGUCAUGCUUGGAGUGUGCUCUAUUAUGGGAUUGCCAUGGUUUGUUGCUGCCACCGUCCUCUCUAUUUCCCACGUGAAUAGCUUAAAACUGGAAUCCGAGUGCUCUGCUCCAGGGGAACAGCCAAAAUUUCUUGGAAUCCGGGAGCAGAGAGUCACAGGACUCAUGAUUUUUGUCCUUAUGGGCUCAUCUGUCUUUUUGACAAGUAUCUUGAAGUUUAUUCCGAUGCCAGUACUUUACGGAGUCUUUCUUUACAUGGGUGCUUCAUCUCUAAAGGGAAUUCAGCUUUUCGAUAGGAUAAAGUUAUUCUGGAUGCCGGCAAAGCACCAGCCAGAUUUUAUCUAUCUGAGACAUGUCCCUCUUAGAAAAGUACAUCUCUUCACUAUAAUUCAGCUGAGUUGUCUUGUACUUCUGUGGAUUAUAAAGGUUUCAAGAGCUGCCAUUGUCUUUCCUAUGAUGGUCCUAGCUUUGGUGUUUGUCCGAAAACUCAUGGAUUUCUUUUUUACUAAACGGGAGCUGAGCUGGUUAGAUGAUUUGAUGCCUGAGAGCAAGAAAAAGAAACUGGAAGAUGCUGAAAAAGAGGAAGAGCAAAGUAUGUUAGCAAUGGAAGAGGAAGGGACUGUUCAAUUACCACUAGAAGGACAUUACAGAGAUGACCCAUCCGUGAUAAACAUUUCUGAUGAAAUGGCAAAAACUGCUGUGUGGAAGACCUUGCUGAUAUCCUCAGAGAAUGCAAAAGAUAAGGAGUCAAGCUUUCCUUCUAAAAGCUCCCCUUCCUAAUCACUCUAGAAGCUGAUUCCCCAAAGUUAAGGAAUUAUUCCCAUGAAACCUGUGUUGAAAUUAAAAGAGAGAAGAAAGCUGACUCAGGGAAAGGUGUUGACCGGGAGACUUGUCUAUGACAUUCUUCAAUUAAUUUUUCUUCUACAAGUGAAUGAAAGGAGUGCCACAAUCAUUAAAUAGGACUGAUUUGAUGUUAUAACCUUUUGUCUGUCAGCCCAAACUAGCACAGGUAAUGUAGUGCAAUAUUUGUUUCAUUUCACUUUGAAUGUCUAUGUUGUAUAGUAUCUGUACAAAAGUCUACAGUAGUCAAUGCAAAAAAUACUUUCUUUGCUGAUGUUGGCCAUUCAUUACAUAUUUUCUUUCAAAUUGAACUUACUUUUUAAGUAGGUUUGUAUUCUCUUUUGCUACUUUUUUCUGUGUGAGAAUCCUUAAUAAUCUUCAUUCAAUAUGAACUUGAAACACUUGUUCCAUUUUUCUUUUAAAUCAAUUAGCUCAAGUAAAGGUUUUUAAGAGACCAAAAUUAACAAGUAAACAUUAAAGGUAUUUUUAAAGUGACAACGGAUCUGACCCUAUGAACACUAAGGAGGUAACCCUUUCCUCCUCAAGCUGUCCUUUUUGAAGUCAUGGAUUGCAAUCGCAGGGUCAGAUUCUUUCAGUAUUUGUGCAGUUUUCCUUGAUUUAAUACAAUAUAUUUAAUAUUCAAAUUUUUAUGUAACUGGAACAUAGUCUAUAUAUAUGAUAUAUAUAUAUUAAAAUAUAUAUUAAAACACAUUCUCUCACAUUAUUUGAAAAAUACCACCACAUCCUUUGAUGUGAAACUUUGGUACAGUAUUUGCUAAAAUGCAAUCUGUGAUUACAGUAUCUUACCUUGUAUUGUAUGAAUGUUUCCAUAGUAGGUCAAACUACUGCUUUAUGUCAUUAAUGAAUAUUAUUUUAUAGUAGGACUUUUGUAAAUAUAAACAAUAUGCUACAUGCAGUUAUAUUACCAGCCCAAUGACUGCCUAAAAGACAGUGACAUAAAUGAUGUAUUUAUAUUGUCCUUUUUCUCACUCCACUACCAACUGCAAGCCAGCUGUCUUUAUUGUGUAUAAUACUUAAACAGAUAGCCUGUUGUUACUUUUCAGCUUUUUUUCAGUAUUCUGUCAAGUACAUAUUACUUAAAAGAUGAAAAACAAGAUUGCAAAGAUGUGACUCUAAAGCCAUUACAAAAAAAAAAGGUUUUCCUAACAGAAUUUGUUAUGGCAUAAUCCUUUAAGCUAUUUUUUUGAUGAAAAACAAGUACUGUGAGAUCAGGUUUUCAGUUAAUAGAGAUGGGAAACAAAAGUUUUAUGACUUAUUUGAAAUUUACUAUUUUUUGAUUUUUUAAGACCAAAUUUUAAAUGAUUAAGUGAAGGCUAACCCUCAUCACUAUAUUUUUGCUCUGAAUUCUAGGAAUGAGAGCCUAUAGUCUUGUGACCUCUAUAAGCUCAUUUGCAGGGCUUAAACAUUCCCUAGCUUUCAAAACAAUAAACUUUACGUUGACCUCCUGUGAAUAACUUUUUCAUAUCCAGCACAUUUAAAAUACUCCUUCCAAUGUUUUUGUGUUUGUAUGUUACAUGACUUUAGCCAUAAAAAAUAACUGCAUUUUCUUUCAAACCAGUUAGGUCACUGUUCUAAAUUGUACUUAGUAUUAUCAAAGCCCAUCAAAGGCCAUUUUUAAUCUACUGGAUGCAACAAAGGAUUUAUAUACAAUUAAAUGUUUGUAUUUAUAAAUUUAGGAAAAAUGCUAAUGACUUAAGGCUAAAUGCUUUGUUUUGUGCAUUUGAUGAUAAACUAAGAUUCCAGUUGUUUCAAGGCUAUUAUAGAAGUUCAAUACUGGUUUGUCCCGAAAGCAGCCUGGUGGUAUUUUAAUAUGUUGCUGACUUUGUUACAGAUAAUGUAUACAAUCAAAGUGUAUUAGUUUCACUUGACCAACUUUUAGAGUAUGAAGGA